UGGUGACUCUGGAUAAUUGUUACAGAUCGCAGUCGGCCUUAGAGUCGGCGACGGGUCCUUCAAAUGUCUGCCCUAUCAACUUUCGAUGGUAGGUGACCUGCCUACCAUGGUGAUAACGGGUAACGGGGAAUCAGGGUUCGAUUCCGGAGAGGGAGCCUGAGAAACGGCUACCACUUCCAAGGGAGGCAGCAGGCGCGCAAAUUACCCACUCCCAGCACGGGGAGGUGGUGACGAAAAAUACCGAUGCGGGACUCCUUAAAGAGGCUCCGUAAUCGGAAUGAGUGGACUCUAAAUCCUUUCACGAGGAUCAAUUGGAGGGCAAGUCUGGUGCCAGCAGCCGCGGUAACUCCAGCUCCAAUAGCGUAUAUUAAAGUUGCUGCAGUUAAAAAGCUCGUAGUUGGAUCUCGGUCGCAUUUAUGCCUGUUGGUAUUAUUGAGUGGCAGUACUGGCACGUCAGCGGACUGUCGCAGUGCUCUGCG
rnacentral:rRNA from 1 species